GACGUAGGGGGCGAGCGUUGUCCGGAUUUACUGGGCGUAAAGGGCGCGUAGGCGGCCCAUCUUGUCGGGCGGGAAAGGCGCACGCUCACCGUGCGCACGCUGCUCGAGACGGGUGGGCUUCGAGGGCCGGAGAGGGAGGCGGAAGGCCGGGUGGAGUGGUGAAAUGCGUAGAGAUCCGGCGGAACACCGGUGGCGAAGGCGGCCUCCUGGACGGCUCCUGACGCUGAGGCGCGAAAGCGUGGGGAGCGAACUGA
rnacentral:rRNA from 1 species